ensembl:lncRNA
GUACUACUUUGUAGCCUAUAGUCCGUUUCAGCAACUUCAGAGCUAAAGAAACGGUUGACUGCUUUGCUGAAUCAAGUUCCAAAAUCACAUAGGACAUCCCUACCUCGGGAAAGUGUGGUAUAAUAAGACUUCUGCUAGGUGACAGUUGGCAGCAGAGGGGCAGACUGACAAAAUGGCAUCUGGCAUGAAAGUGCAUAUGAAGUAAAGGUGUGGAACUGAAUUCCUCCAUGAAGAAAAAACUGCACCCACUGACAUUCAUUGAUGUUUGCUGAACUCGGAUGGAGGCCAAACAGUGGGGCAGAUGUUUACAAGUGCAGUAUGCAGGCUUUUGUUCAUUGCUGGCAAAAAUGCUUACCUAGUGGUGGUGACUGUGUUGAAAAACAGUGUUUUGUGCAUAAGAAUUAUGCUCUAUCAAAUAGUGUUUUUGUGCUCUUUGUAUCUGCUGCAGUUCCCAGGGAAAUAAAUAGGAGGCAGUACGGCAGUACUCGGAGGUCCGAGUGACCUACAUUAUACCUCCUUAGAAUAGAGAAAACUAAAUUCAUGAGCCUAAUCCCACCCCUCCCCCCAACUUGAGAAAAAUAAGCACCUAACUUGAACAUCGAAAUUCAGCAUGAAAUUACCUCCCCACAUUGUCACCACCAAUUAUAUAAUAACAAAAUAAGCUUUUAGAUAAGCACAUCAGUACUGCAAUACAAAGCACUUCUACCAACAUGUCCCUAGCUCUAGUCUAUACGGGUUUAAAAGAAAGAGCUGCUGUUUGUAAAAGUGGUGGUCAGCAUUCAGUUUCAAGUGAGUAGUGUUUGCUCUGACAAACGCUGCCACGACAUUUUGUAUAAGCUUAGAAGAGUCCAAAGACUGAAUAAAUACUGACACCAAGGUCUCCACUUUCCUAAAGUAAGGGGGCUCCAAAGGUCAGGGAGAAGUCUUGUGCAAAAGUCAAGUCUUGUGCUCUUGUGUCAAGGAAAUGCAACUACAGCUGUCUGUUAUAUCUUCUGUAUGAAUAAAUAGAGGUUGAAUUUCAACAUCCAAAUCUGUCGGCAGCAUUAAAAUGUUAUGUCCCAGUAAAACAGAAAGCAACUCCUUGUUAGCAACUUCAUGAAGAAUGCUAAAGACUGAACACAGAUCUUGCAAGGCCUUGGUGUUUGUCUUGUCAGCUUAAGAAGGACACGUGUUGAUGCUACAAGUUCCCAGCCCCUUUGUGUGAAUAUGUAGGAAACAUGAGCUCUCUCCUGCUGUCAUUUUGAUGUCAGAUGCAGAACUAAAACAAACAAGUGGGGCAAGGAGGGGAAGGUUUGCAGUUAAUUCUGUCUUUGCACAUAAACAAGUAUUUCUAUUCCUGCUUAAAUUGGGAAGGAAGUCAUUUUAUACACAGUAUGCUUCCUUUCAGCUUUACUCACACAGAGACAAAGAGACUUAUUGAAAAAAGAUCAGUUAUGUUUUCCAGGUCCUGUUAUGCUUUGGUGACACUGGAGCAGUCAGAACUCUAUGAAAGCAAGGACUCUAGUAAUAGAAAUGACUGCUGCCGUUUGAUUGGGUUUGUUGGUGCAGGCUGCAGAGUUUCUUCACUCACCUCUCAGUCAGAUGCGUAGGGACAGACAUGCUUUGGUUAUUCGAUGGCCAGAAGAGUUUGACAACACUUAUUUUACUAUAAAUCACAAACUCAGAUAAAUCUUUAACAGGAACUAUCAGAUCUAGCAACAAGCUACAACUGUGUUCGCCACAUGUUCCCAAUUUUCUUGCUUCCUCUAUAUGUCAAUCCUGCAAACACAUUGUUGAUUACCUGCACAUGAGCAGCCCAGCCUACUUUGAUGCAUAUAUCUGACGUAGUUUACUUACUCCCGACUUACUAUAAAUAACCUAAUAGAAAGGACUCAAUGGGGCUCCUAUCGCCUCUUGCAAAGGGAAAUUGGGGCCCCAAAAGUUUGAGACGUUCUUGAAAACUAACCACAGGAAUCUUUCAAAAUCUGAGCCAAGAUCUUCAUGAAGCCACAUUGACAGAGACCAGUGAAAUUCUUUAGAAUACAAAUGUACAAUGACUGCAUUCUUUGUUACGAGUAUGAGUGUGUACGUGGUUAAAGAAACCAUAAGAUUUCCACAGUUGUUACAGGUUUUUGAGAUCUUGAGAGUCUGAAAAGUACUACAUACAUAACAUUGAUAUACAUUUAAAAAUAUGAGCAACACUUAGCUUCGCAGUGUAUUACUCUUGCCACUUUCUGUAAUUUGAGAUCAUAAGCUAUUCACCUUCACGAAGCCUUAGUUUUACUGCAUUUUAAAAGCUAUUUGAUUUCCAAUAUUCUCCUGCUAAGCUUCACAUGCCGAAUCUAAAAAUUUCUGGCAGGCACAAUUUUGGCCCAAAUAGUUGGUGGCCAAUUCACUUAGAAGACCAUGCAAAAACUCUUUGCAAAAUGAUGUAAAUAAAUAAUGUAGAUCAAAAUGCAAGCAGAAAAAAAUGUGCUUCGGCAUUUGAAGUAUGCUUUGAAAACUUGACAGCACAAAAUUAUGUUCCUCUUCAGCUGCUAUUUCCUUUUUUCUCUGAAGAAUUCCUCCAUUCAUUAAUGGUCUACUGAUUACAAGCACCUCGGGAUCUGGACCCCAUUUGAAAGUGUGCAUACCUGGCCAGAUGGAAGUCAAAAAACUGCGUUUGAGUUACUUCCCAAAAGUAUAACUUCUGGUGAUAAAUGUUCCAAAAAGAGGAAGAGAGAGAGUUUAUAAAUCCCUCUCUUGGUGCUGCUUGACGCAGUCUCCAUUUUAAAUGAGAAUAUGAGCUCAUGUGUAAGGAGCUUGUUAAUAAUACAAAUAGUAAAAGCAAAGAAAAUAAAUUACUACAAGUGGUCUGCUAAAGGAACAUAAUCUGUGAACGUAUUUAUGAAUAUCCAAUACAAUGUACUCUUGUUGUUUAUGCAGUGUUUGCCACAAUCCUUCUUGCAAACUGGUUACUAAUCUGACAAGUAGUUCCAGCCCUUGGAGAUUCGGCACCCACCUUGAAACAUCUCAGCAGAACAGGUAUUCAGCACUUUUGUCACCUCGGAGGAACCAAAAACUGAAGCAUCAAAAUCAAUAGAUUGUGUCUGAAACAUUAAGCUAAAACAGCAUGCAC